AUGCAUGUGGCCACCCCAGGGCGCAUUGUUUUGGUCAAGGCGGUCCUCACGACCAUCGCUAUAUAUCAUCUCACACCCCUUGAUCUCCCUGUUGAAGUUAGAAAAAAGAUUGAUAGUCUGAGACGAGCCUACCUUUGGGCGGGUUGUGAAAAGGUGUCAGGAGGCAAGUGUAAGGUUAACUGGAACCUUGUCUGCAAGCCCAAGAUCUAUGGAGGACUGGGUGUGCUGGAUCUAGAGAAAUUCGCCACCGCUCUACGACUCCGUUGGCUGUGGUUUGAAUGGGCCGACCCGCAAAAAACUUGGACUGGAAUG
rnacentral:rRNA from 1 species